UACGGGGGGGAGCAAGCGUUGUUCGGAUUUACUGGGCGUAAAGGGCGCGUAGGCGGCGCAACAAGUCACUUGUGAAAUCUCCGGGCUUAACCCGGAGCGGCCAAGUGAUACUGUCGUGCUAGAGUGCGGAAGGGGCUACUGGAAUUCUCGGUGUAGCGGUGAAAUGCGUAGAUAUCGAGAGGAACACCUGCGGCGAAGGCGGGUAGCUGGGCCGACACUGACGCUGAUGCGCGAAAGCCAGGGGAGCAAACGGG
rnacentral:rRNA from 1 species